GAUGAACGCUGGCGGUGUGCCUAACACAUGCAAGUCGAACGGAAGCACAAGAAGCUUUCUCUCUUGCGGUUAGCGACGGACGGGCGAGUAAGACGUGCAUCACCUUCUACUUUUUCUGGGAUAAUAACGGGGAACCGGUUCCAAUACUGCCUCAUACGUCCUACGGCAUGGUGCAGGGGAGCUUGAGGCCUUUCGCGUUUGUAUUAGCCGAUGCCGCAUUAGCUAGUUGGCGGGGUAAAGGCCCACCAAGGCGACGAUGCGUAGCUGGUCUGAGAGGAUGAUCGGCCACACUGGAACUGAGACACGGUCCAGACUCCUACGGGAGGCAGCAGUGGGGAAUAUUCGGCAAUGGGCGCAAGCCUGAUCCAGCCAUACCGCGUGGGUGAAGAAGGCCUUCGGGUUGUAAAGCCCUUUUAUUGGGAAAGAACAUCUGUAGGUUUAGACCUGGCCGUCCUGACGGUACCUAAAGAAAAAGCACCGGCUAACUACGUG
rnacentral:rRNA from 1 species